rnacentral:misc_RNA from 1 species
AAUAUUGGAAGAAAAUUGUGUGACCAUUUGACACUCGCGUACGUCACGCGUAAAUGCUAUCACAAUUCUACGCAUUGCUACACUAGACACUGCUACAAGCACGAUAAUCUAACAGAUAGAUACAGUAUACGAUGAUUACGUCGGAAAGACUUUUUGACAAUCUAUUAUUAUCAGUAUCUGAGUUUGUCACGAUAUGCAUCUUGUGAAACUAAAAUUAAACAAUUUCUGAUUUAAUGGAGAGAUUAUUUACGCGUACAUUCGUACUUCCGUUCGUUACGAAUCUAUUGAGGAAAUAACUAAUGCGAUUACUAACCUCAAAACAGAAGCAACUGGUUACGGUCUUACCAAGGUUUCACGAUGAUCGAGUAAGAGUUUUUGGAAUUGAUGUUUAUCCGGUACAACUACAACUGGAUUCUCUUCCCACUGGGCCCACUGUUCUAACUCCUACAAAUAAGGAAACUGUUUGAUGUUGUCUAUUCAUGGAUUCACCAGAAUAAUUUCUUACUAGGGGCAAUGCAGAAAUAUCAAUCAAUGCUGAUAGUUCUUACCACAUGAUUAUUAACAUUGUUGGGCACAACGCCAACCGCUAAAAGUGGUAUAGAUUCACAGGAGGACCUCCGCCGUCUCCGAAAACAACACAUAGCUCGUCUGAAGAUCCCCAAUAUCAAGAGAAGCAACGCCUUGAUUCUAUUCAUUGCAAAUUCGAUGGCCAUUAUGCACUCUUAAUCUGAAUUCAACCUGAAGUUUAUCCCAGUCAGAGACCAAUUACAACCGACGUGUCAACGUCUGUGCUACAUACGUACGAACUCUGGUAGGUAUGAGUUAUGGGAAUAACGUGUGUUUGAUAAGAUUCAGAAUCAUGUAGUAAUAAAUAUUUUAUAUUCUGUACAUACACAUCGCGCAUUAGUACGUGGUCUACAGCCAGUAUAUUUUUUUUCUGCUCUUCUAUACUUCACGAACGGCGAACGGUUGGUUUCCUUCAGAUUUAUGAUCAAUAACUUGAUGUAUUAAACCAAUCACCAAAUUAAUAAAUUUCGGCUAAUCUUCGAGCUAAUCAUAUACCGCUCACACUCAUGACGGUAUAAUCCGAAGACGCCGAUGUUGAUUUAUAUGGCAAUACACUGUGUCACAUGAAAGAGUGAGUCGAUAAAAAUGGGAGAAGCAGUAGUUGAACGUAACUUGGAACUUCAACUACAGAUGGCAAAGCACAACAUUUCUGAGGAACAUUAUUGCUCUCUGUUGCGAAAGGCGCAUCAAUUCAAACUAAAUUACAAGGAGCGCGGGUAGUGCAGAUCCUUGGAAAUUGUAGGACGUAAAUGGAGUAUUAUCUGUUGUAUAACGUUCACACAGAUUACACUUCGUGCCUACUAAUGUGCAAUCUGCAUUGGUAGUGAAAUGCUGCUCCAGAUAUGAUCUUACAGUUGGAUUUUAUUAUUAUCUAAGUUGUGAAUGGUACAGAUUUGAGG